rnacentral:rRNA from 1 species
AAUGAACGUUGGCGGCGUGGAUUAGGCAUGCAAGUCGCGCGACAAGCCCCGCAAGGGGUGGAGGAGCGGCAAACGGGGUAGUAAUGCGUCGGAACGUACCCUCAGGUCGGGGAUAGCCAGGGGAAACCCUGGGUAAUACCCGAUGACCCCGCUGCGCAAGCAGCGAGCAAAGGUCCGCCGCCUGAGGAGCGGCCGACGUGGUAUCAGGUAGUUGGCGGGGUAAUGGCCCACCAAGCCUUAGACGCCUAGGGGGCGUGAGAGCGCGACCCCCACCACUGGGACUGAGAUACUGCCCAGACACCUACGGGUGGCUGCAGUCGAGAAUCUUCCGCAAUGGGCGCAAGCCUGACGGAGCGACGCCGCGUGCGGGAUGAAGGCCUUCGGGUUGUAAACCGCUGUCAGAGGGGAUGAAAGCCGCAAGGCUUGACAGAGCCUCAGAGGAAGCACGGGCUAAGUUCGUGCCAGCCGCCGCUGUAACAC